rnacentral:rRNA from 1 species
GACGAACGCUGGCGGCGUGCCUAAUACAUGCAAGUCGAACGCAGUGGGGACGGGUGAGUAACACGUGGGUAACCUCCCAUCAGAGGGGAUAACACUUGGAAACAGGUGCUAAACCGAGACUGAUGGAUGGACCCGCGGGGCAUUAGCUAGUUGGUGAGGUAACGGCUCACCAAGGCCACGAUGCAUAGCCGGUCUGAGAGGGUGACCGGCCACACUGGAACUGAGACACGGCCCAGACUCCUACGGGAGGCAGCAGUAGGGAAUCUUCGGCAAUGGACGAAAGCCUGACCGAGCAAUGCCGCGUGAGUGAAGAAGGUUUUCGGAUUGUAAAACUCUGUUGUUAGAGAAGCGGUAUCUAAACAGAAAGCAACGGCUAACUACGUGCCAGCAGCCGCGGUAAUUC